CCUGUGUGACAAGGCGAGUGAGAAGAGCAAGUGACAUCUUAGUGUUGUGAAAAUAGUUUUGGCUUUGAGAAUCCCCUGAAAAGUUCUCAGGGACUCGAAGGGACCACUGGGAUGUCUGUACUCGGCUGUUACCCCCUCUCCCCAGCUCCCAGGGCCAGGUGCUGGGCCUGUUGCUGUGGGAGGGAGUGCUGGGUGGCUGAGCUUUAUCACUGUUAUCGGUAGUGAUUUAUCAAGCCCUUUUAAAAAGGAAGUUCGUGGGUGCCAACACACCUGCGCGGGCCCUGCAUUCCUGGAGGUGUCGCACGUCCUCUCUGCCCUCCCCCGGGUGUGGCAUCCCUGUUGGACUUUCCUUUCUAGAAGGAAGCAUCGGGCCUGAGAUUUCUGGAUCUCCUAAGCGGAAUUUGCUCUGAGGCCUGCGUCACACACACGCCCGGGCUGUGUUCACAAAGGCGUUAUUCAGGAAUGGCGACCACACCCGUGUGCUGUCAUCUCUCCAGCCCACCUCCGCCGCCUGGAAGAAGCUUGUGAGGGCUCCAUUUCUGCUUCAGCCCUCUUUCCAACACUGUCUGUCUUUAAUUCUACAACUUCACACGACUGCUGUCUGUUUAAAUGUACCUUGUGAGGUGGGAAGAGUUUGUAAUUUUCCACAAUUCAUUUUAUUGAUUUACAUCUUGCAUAACGGGGCUUUUUUGUUUCCUUCCUCCUCUUAGGAAAAAAAAAAUUUUUUUAAAGAGGUGACAAGAAGUCACAUAUAAGGGUGGUGAGAUUUCUUUUCAAGCAGUUUCUCUUGCCAGUUCUUUUUCUCCUUGAUUGCUCAAGUGCCAGUUUUGAUGGAGCUGGUUAAUAAUUCUUUGAGAGAGAGGUGAAGUGUACACUUAUGAGUCUCAGACGACUCACCAAAGCAUUUUAAGCCCUUUAGCAGAGGUGGAAUUAAGUCACGUGAUCUAUUUUCUGGUUAAUAGCUUAUAACUCUCAGAAACGAAUUAAUUAUUUUCCUGUAAUGUAAGAAACAUUACUGUCUUAGGUAAAAACCCGUCUUCGUGGGAGGCAGGCUGUGCCAGGCACAGUGCAUGGUCCCCGCCCUCGAGGAGCUUGCUUUCUGACCCUUUCCCUCGGUGGGACUCAGUUUCUUUAUCUGCAAAUGCAGGCAUCAGAUGAGAUCAUCUUCACAGUCCCUUCCAGCUCUCAACAUUCUGUGGUACCUAGAGGAUAAUGGAGACUCAUCAUUAUUUCAACAUCACCAGGGAUGAACUAGGAAUGAAAAGAGCAAACUUUCCAUCAGGGUCAACAGGCAGGCAGCAGUCAUCAGCUAAACUAUUCCACUUCCUGGGAGGUGUUGAUGAA
rnacentral:lncRNA from 1 species